AUGCCACAUCGGCGACCGUGUCAACGCGACCACCGCCGCGUCACGAGUCAAGGGCGCAGCAUCAAGGUGACCUUCGAGCUCGCGAACCCGCCGGCCGUCUCUCGCUGCUUCGUCCACUGCCCCGACGUGGCGGAGAGCCGCUACGGCGGGGAUCCCGUGGUUGUGAGUUCCGCGGACGCGUUCGUCCUUCUCGUCGUCCCGUUUACUGACCGCUACGGGCGCAGCCUCGAUGUGUAUCGCUCCGAUAUCUCUAGGUGGCCGUGGCGCAACCAGGUGGUGGGCGUCGCCAAGCACACCACCAAGUACCACAAUCACGAGGUAAUAAUGCGACAUCAAGGCACCCGCGUGAUCUUUGCCGGAAGGGGAACACUCGGCUGGGUCAAUCAUUUGCAUGGCAUUCUUCUAUGCAACGUGCUCGAUCACAGUCCGAUCAUGCAUUUCAUCCAAUUGCCUGUUCCAGCCCCUUGCAAUCUGGUGUCGCGGUUCGGCAUGGGAGUCGACAAUAUUUCUGAACGGCCGCUUCGCGACGUCGUUAUAAGCAAUGGUGUGAUCAAGUUCAUCGAGCUGAAAUCUUCUUGGCGUGGUGAUAGCCGCAAUGAGAAGGGGGUCAUUGGCCAUGGCUGGACGGCCACCACAUGGAAUAGGGAGAUUUGCUCAAAGAAGUGGCACAAGAGGUUCACUUUCAAGGCUGAUGACAUGCCUGUCACAGGUUCAAGUUACCCUAACUUAUUGGGUGGCAAGAGGUUUAGUUGGGACAAAGUGCUUCACGGUUCGCCCACUCUUAGCUUGUGCGACGACGAUGUUGUCUACAUCAUGGCUAGAAUGGACAUCCGCCCUGCGGCUGCAUGGAUGCUUGCCAUUAACAUCAAAGAGGAAACACUGAAAGCAGUCAAGCAGUGUUCUACUGAAAGGAUGCCUGGUCUUGAACCAACAUAUGUUCGGUGUGCCUUGUCCGACUACCUCAAGCAACCGAGAAGGAUAUGGGAGGACACAAACCUUUCCAGUUAUGAGUGGUGCAAACGCAGGCAUAUCAUGUGCCAUGAGAAGGAUACGCGGAGCAGAGGACAUCUAGGGCAUGCCAUCAGGCUGGAGCCUUACAGGCCUCCGGUCUCCAUAAAACAUACAAGAAGAAUCUUGGAGAUGUAA
rnacentral:rRNA from 1 species